CGGGGCUGCCGCUUCCCGCCCGCGCUCACACACAGGCUUUGGCUGCCCCCGGCUGCCGGAAUCCUGCCUUCGCUUCCGCACAUGCGAGCCUCUCCCCCCGCCGCCACGGAAACGGAGACAGGGCGAGCUAGCAGAUGACAAGCUAUUUAAAUACAGCAAAGCUGUUCCAAACAGCUCUCACACCAUGGGACAAGUCUACACUACAAAAUUAGGUUGUGAGAGUCAUCAACUUGAUCCUCCUAUGGAGAGUCAUCCACCUGCAAGACCUGGCCCCAAUCGUGACCUGAUUUGCUGCCCUGGGGUUCCCGAACUGUGUUUUAAGUAAAAGCCAUAGAUGGGACCCAAAUCCUGAUCUGUGUACCUGAAUAUCGAGCGGCCCAAUACAUAAAUUGCAAGAGCUACUUUUCAGUGGUGCUGCAGGCCCUAGUCAACCACUGUUCUUGGACAUUUUUGUCGGGUGGUUAGGUAGGGCACAUGAUGCCCAGAUUUUUCAGAACUCCAGCCUCUAUGGGAAGCUGGAAGCGGGCAUAUUCUUCCCCCGCCAUGACUUUGAAGUCGAGGAUGUGCAGAUGCCAUUGUUCAUCAUGGGGGACAUGGACUACCCCCUGAUGCCGUGGCUUAUGAAGCCUUGUACCAGCCACUUGGACCCCCACAGGGACCAAUUUAAUGUCCACCAGAACCGGACCAGCAUUCAGGUGGAGUGCGCCUUCAGCUGCCUCAAGGCACGUUUCAGGCGCCUCCUGACCUGCCUGAAUGUGGGGGGAACACAACAUCCCUGCGGUGGUGUUGGCAUGUUGUGUCCUCCACAACAUUGUGGAGAGAAAGAGAGAGGCCUUCCUACCAGGGUCGGGGGCAGAAGCCAGCCACGAGGGGAGACCCUUUAAGCAGCAUUAGACAGCUGCCAUCCACCAGGCCCAUCAGGCUGGGGGGGCACAUCUGGGAGGCCCUGAGGGAGAGUACUCCAGUAACUCUCCCCAGAGCCUCCCCUCCUCCCAGAGAGGCCUCACAUUUGCUGCUCUAUCCCUUUCCCACCACAACCCCUCCCUUCGCCCCUUCCCUGACCUCUCA